rnacentral:rRNA from 1 species
UACGGAGGGUGCAAGCGUUGUCCGGAAUUACUGGGCGUAAAGCGUGCGCAGGCGGUUUUGUAAGUCUGUCGUGAAAUCCCCGGGCUCAACCUGGGAAUUGCGAUGGAGACUGCAAGGCUAGAAUCUGGCAGAGGGGGGUAGAAUUCCACGUGUAGCAGUGAAAUGCGUAGAGAUGUGGAGGAACACCGAUGGCGAAGGCAGCCCCCUGGGUCAAGAUUGACGCUCAUGCACGAAAGCGUGGGGAGCAAACAGG